AACAGAUUUAGAAACAGGCCUGCUUUACCAGUGGGUCUGCCAGCCUUAGGCUUUUCACUGGCAAGUGACCAUGAUGACCACAAGCACCAUGCCCCACCCCGAGGCAGGUUCUCCUGCACAUUUUUCCCUUAGGCUGGAAAUCCAGCUCGCUUAUAUAACAAGCUUCAUUGCAACACUCUCCUUCAAGCCAGAGGGACUCUGGACUAUUCCCAUUUCUCUGGCUCCACAGCAGGCACUCCCAGCUUCCUGUGAAUUUGGUGAGCCAUCUGACCGUGUCUGCCAAGCCUCUCCUUUCUGGGGCCUCGCUUACCUGAGAUCUGCCUUCCCAUGGGAAAUGCAAUGUGAAGUAAAAGCAACAGACAGCCUGAGGAGCCCAGGCACCACGACGCUCAAUGCGAUUACCGCAGGAAGGCAUCUUUCAGAACGUGAGAGGACAACUGGCCUUGAGACAAUCGAAAAGAAUAGCAAUGAAGAGAACAACCUGGCAGAGAGUACACCGCAGAGAAAGGAAAUGGGGCUUCAGCUGCCUCAACAGUGUGCCUGCCUGGAUUCUCAAAGACGGAAAAGCAGCAGCAGCAAGGAGGGACGUCAGAGUCCAUGA
rnacentral:lncRNA from 1 species